rnacentral:rRNA from 1 species
AUUGAACGCUGGCGGCAUGCCUUACACAUGCAAGUCGAACGGCAGCACGGGAGCAAUCCUGGUGGCGAGUGGCGAACGGGUGAGUAAUAUAUCGGAACGUGCCCAGUCGUGGGGAUAACGUAGCGAAAGCUACGCUAAUACCGCAUACGAUCUAUGGAUGAAAGCGGGGGAUCGCAAGACCUCGCGCGUUUUUAUGGAGCGGCCGAUAUCAGAUUAGGUAGUUGGUGAGGUAAAGGCUCACCAAGCCGACGAUCUGUAGCUGGUCUGAGAGGACGACCAGCCACACUGGGACUGAGACACGGCCCAGACUCCUACGGGAGGCAGCAGUGGGGAAUUUUGGACAAUGGGCGCAAGCCUGAUCCAGCCAUGCCGCGUGCAGGAAUAAGGUCCUAUGGAUUGUAAACUGCUUUUAUACAGGAAGAAACACUGGUUCGUGAACCAGCUUGACGGUACUGUAAGAAUAAGGAUCGGCUAACUCCGUG